CUUUAACCCCAAACCUCCAAAGGCCCUAAACCCUAGCCCGCCCUCUUCCCCCUCAAAUUAGACUCUCCUCCCUCUAAGCCCCGCCAGAAAAUCCUCUAUUCACCGCCAAAAAAACCCCCAUCUAGCAACAAUACAUCACCUAAUACCUCUAACCACACUCUGAAUGCAUGGUUAAGCCGUGUCGUAUCACUUCGAAUGCAUGAUUAAGCCGUGCCGUAUCGGAUUCUUAACAGGAACCUGCCCCCCUAGUUUCUCGAAUUUCUCUACAGAUGAAGACGAAUUCGAAGAAACCGAUGGCAGCGCAGUUUAUGGACACACUCUCUUAAGCCAGCGGCCUUCUACCGUAGAAUGGACACCGAAUUUGGGCGUCUACCGUACACCGAAUUUGGUUAGUUUUAUCAGUACCGUGGAUCGGUACCCGAUAAUUCUCAGAAAUAUGGGCGGUGACUUUGUCUGCUCUAUGCAAGAAAUCCACAUGAUUCAAAUCGCUGGUUCAGGAUUCAAGUGGAAACGUGGGACGGUAUGGCGAAAUUGUGCUUUGAACAUCUAAAGCCAAAUGAUCACAUAUAUGUCUCGGGCCAUUUGGAGUCUUACUUCAAGGUUUCUAGCAAUGGAAAUCCAAAGUCCAGUUAUAAGGUUCCCCAUUUGAAUUAUAAUAGUUUGCUUGGAUAUGUCAUUUAAAUUUUCGAAAACUGCGUGGAAUUAUUAAUGAUUUACGCUUUCUUAUAGAAAUAGAGGCUAGAGGCAGCUAGUUAUUAAUGAUUUACCAUGAUUUUUUUUUUUAAUGAUGAUUAUCAUUGCUGGAAGAUUGAUAUGUUUCUGAUUGCUUCUCAAAGAAUUAGUUUGAGAUACUCUGUGCUCUCUUGUUCGCUAAUACUGAAUUGAUUUUAUUAGCCAUUAUUUGAAACGUUUGUAUGUUUCUGAACCAUACCAAUGGGUUUUCUAUUCUGAACACAUUGAUAAGUCCACAUAGACACAAGCAAACACGGUCACACACGUGUGCACUUGCUCACUCAUUCCUACAUGUGUGCGUGUAGAAUGAUUUAGUUUGUUUCUAUAGAUAAUUGCGAAUGGAUUGCAUUGCAUUGCACAACAUGAUCAUCGGCCAGGCUGCCAAAGCCCUGAGUGGUCAAAGUUUGAAACCUGCCAAAAUCAGGAGGAAUCAGAGUUGGAAGCCUGUUGAAACCCUCCCUGAGGAAUCAGAGUUGAAGCCUGUCGAAACCCUCCCUGAGGAAUCAGAUUCAGGGACCUGCCAAAAAUUUAAGGAACCAGAAUCAGGUGCCUGCCAAAAAUCCAUGGAGCCACAUUCAGGAGGUUAUGAAUGGCUCAUGGUUCAAUUAACAUAAGAGAUGGUUUAGGUGGGUUGUUUCUCAAUAUAGGACUUCCAAAUCUUUGGCAUGUUCAGGUGGCUGUCGCUUAAAAUCUUGGAAUCUAUUAUUAGCUCAUCAUAAAGUUGCUAGAUAUGACUGCCUGGGUGUGUGGGGAUCAAGAAUGCUGUUUACUGGCAGGCAAAGAAAGUCAUACUGUUUGAUUGGGCCAUGGUUUUUUAUAUGAUUGAUAGCAGUGAUUGAUUUAGCAUUGGUUUAUUGUUUUUUUAUAUUUUGUUCACUACUCCCAUGCUUAUUUCUUUAAAUUUCUUUAUAACAAAUUCAGCUGAAAUUGGCAUGGGAAAGGACAAAACCCACCUUUGCUUAUGGAAAGCGCUUUUCAGCAGUCUGCUUGGGUGGUGGGAUAACAAGAAAAAUCGGAGUUACACGACUUUAAGCACAAGAUUAGUGGUUAUGCUCUUUGGUUGAGUCCAAAUGAACCACCAUGGAUCAAAAGAAAAGUUCAAUUGCUUGAUUGGAAAACAAGGAAUGGAGUGUUUGUAAUACUGUAUGACUGUCUUAGAAAUCAAUGUAUUUCGAGCAUGUAGAAUGAAGUUCGUUGAAA